rnacentral:rRNA from 1 species
CCGUUACGAACUAACUUAAACGUAAACGUUAACCUUACCGAGAGUAGUAGGUAGUUGGUCGUCCGUGGACUUAGAUACAGGUGCUGCAUGGCUGUCGUCAGCUCGUGUCGUGAGAUGUUGGGUUAAGUCCCGCAACGAGCGCAACCCUUUUCCUUAUUUGCCAGCGGGUUAAGCCGGGAACUUUAAGGAUACUGCCAGUGACAAACUGGAGGAAGGCGGGGACGACGUCAAGUCAUCAUGGCCCUUACGGCCAGGGCUACACACGUGCUACAAUGGUCGGUACAAAGGGUUGCUACCUCGCGAGAGGAUGCUAAUCUCAAAAAGCCGAUCGUAGUCCGGAUCGCAGUCUGCAACUCGACUGCGUGAAGUCGGAAUCGCUAGUAAUCGCGGAUCAGAAUGCCGCGGUGAAUACGUUCCCGGGCCUUGUACACACCGCCCGUCACACCAUGGGAGUUUGUUGCACCAGAAGUAGGUAGUCUAACCGCAAGGAGGACGCUUACCACGGUGUGGCCGAUGACUGGGGUGAAGUCGUAACAAGGUAGGCGUAGAUGA